ACAGUGCUCACCGAUCUUCUGAUGUAGCUUCCACCCCCUCCCCAGCUCUCCGGCAGACGCAAACCACCCUCAGAACUCCACCCGGGACAUCACCCAGAAGGAAACUGCAGCAUUUCGGUUUGAUUUGAAUCUGGAUGAAGUCGAAGCGUCCCCUCUAAGUUCAGCAUGGGGACUGGUUCGCAGACGCAAUCAUUUCAGUUAUCAUCAGUUCUCAACAGGUUUCAUGCAGGUGCUCCUGGCUUUAUCAGAUUGGCUGCGGAGGUUGGGAGUUCUGUGCUCUAGGACCCAGAACUUGGGCAAACUGGCCUUCUGCGUAGACUCUGUGCCCCAGGCUAAUAUAGACAGGCGUGAACUGAGCCACAGACUGCUCAGCUCAUGAGCUCUGAAUUUUCUCUCCACAAGGUUCAAGGCUUGCUUUGGAGACAAAUCACUGAGGUCCAUGGCAGGUAUAGAGUGGAGUUCAAAUCUGCUCUUUGAGAAGAGAAGCCCAGAAGAGAGUGGAUUCUUGAAGCCCCAUGGAGGGCUAGCUACAUUUUACCUGGAGACAAGAUAAUCUGAGGGGCGAAGCCAGUGAUGCAGAGCACCAAGACUCAGAAGAUGAAUAUUGUGCCUGCUUUGGCGAGACAUGGUUCAGACUCAGAAGGAGUAUGUAACGAUAAUAAAGAGAAGAUAUGAUGA
rnacentral:lncRNA from 1 species